GGGCCAUUCCAUCCAGCGAGUAAAGCUUUACCCGUGACAUUAUCCAAGUGUGGGAACCGCCACAGCGAUCGUUGGGUGAUAUCCGCAGCCAGGACUGCUUCUGUUUUGGUGCAACGACUAAGUCGUAAUGGCCGGCCCUGCCGGUAAAGAGAUAGUCUCAAUCUCGUGGGGAGACCCAUGACAGCUUUUGCAUUAAAUCAGUUAUCGUUUAUUUGAUAAUACCUUACCACUUGGAUAACUGUGGUAAUUCUAGAGCUAAUACAUGCUAAAAACCCCGACUUCGGAAGGGGUGUAUUUAUUAGAUAAAAAACCAAUGCCCUUCGGGGCUCCUUGGUGAUUCAUAAUAACUUAACGAAUCGCAUGGCCUUGCGCCGGCGAUGGUUCAUUCAAAUUUCUGCCCUAUCAACUUUCGAUGGUAGGAUAGUGGCCUACCAUGGUCUUAACGGGUAACGGGGAAUUAGGGUUCGAUUCCGGAGAGGGAGCCUGAGAAACGGCUACCACAUCCAAGGAAGGCAGCAGGCGCGCAAAUUACCCAAUCCCAAUCCGGGGAGGUAGUGACAAUAAAUACUGAUACAGGGCUCUUUCGGGUCUUGUAAUUGAAAUGAGAAAAAUCUAAAUCCCUUAACGAGGAACAAUUGGAGGGCAAGUCUGGUGCCAGCAGCCGCGGUAAUUCCAGCUCCAAUAGCGUAUAUUAAAGUU
rnacentral:rRNA from 1 species